rnacentral:rRNA from 1 species
CAUUACAGAGUUCUCGCCCUUACGGGUAGAUCUCCCACCCACUGUUAUCGUUACUGUCGUUUCUUUGGCGGGCCGCCGGGUCCCCCGGCCGCCGGCGUCUAAUAGGCGGCGCGCGCCCGCCAGAGGCCUUCAAACUCUGAAUGUUAGUGUCGUCUGAGUACUAUAUAAUAGUUAAAACUUUCAACAACGGAUCUCUUGGUUCUGGCAUCGAUGAAGAACGCAGCGAAAUGCGAUAAGUAAUGCGAAUUGCAGAAUUCAGUGAGUCAUCGAAUCUUUGAACGCACAUUGCGCCCUGUGGUAUUCCGCAGGGCAUGCCUGUUCGAGCGUCAUUUCAACCCUCAAGCUCUGCUUGGUGUUGGGCUCCGCCCCCGUGGCCGGCCCCAAAGUCAGUGGCGGCGCCGUCUGGCUCUAAGCGUAGUACAUCUCUCGCUCUAGGGUCCUGCGGUGGCUUGCCAGAACCCCAACUUCUAUGGUUGACCUCGGAUCAGGUAGGGAUACCCGCUGAACUUAAGCAUAUCAAUAAGCGGAGGAAAAGAAACCAACAGGGAUUGCCUCAGUAACGGCGAGUGAAGCGGCAACAGCUCAAAUUUGAAAUCUGGCUCCUUCGGGGCCCGAGUUGUAAUUUGGAGAAGAUGCUUCGGGUGUGGCCCCGGUCUAAGUUCCUUGGAACAGGACGUCACAGAGGGUGAGAAUCCCGUACGUGACCGGUGGCCGCCCCCGUGUGAAGCUCUUUCGACGAGUCGAGUUGUUUGGGAAUGC